rnacentral:rRNA from 1 species
UACAGAGGUCUCAAGCGUUGUUCGGAUUCAUUGGGCGUAAAGGGUGCGUAGGUGGCGCGGUAAGUCGGGUGUGAAAUCUCGGAGCUUAACUCCGAAAUUGCAUUCGAUACUGCCGUGCUCGAGGACUGGAGAGGAGAGUGGAAUUCCUGGUGUAGCGGUGAAAUGCGCAGAUAUCAGGAGGAACACCAAUGGCGAAAGCAGCUCUCUGGGACGGUACUGACGCUGAGACGCGAAAGCGUGGGGAGCGAACAGG